AUGUAAAAAUGGAGAUUUGAACACUGGACUCCAAUCCCCAGAAGUCCUUGGCCACUUCCCAAAAUGCUUUGUAAUCUCACUGAGAUCCUCACCUGGGCAAGAUCAAAAACUUCUAUUUAAACUGAUUGUAAAACCUACCGGCUCUCUUUUUACUUCCUCUUCCAAGGAGAUGAGGCUCUCCACCUAGCAGGCAAGAUAAAGCAAAGAGCAAGGCACUGAGGAUACAUGUCACAGAAUGAGUAAAUUUGGAGGAGUGGAGAUGGGGCUCAGGAACACUCUGGAGAAUGAGAAGCUCAACAGAAAGGGAAGGCCCAGAUGGUGUUAGUACCUGCUGAUACUCAUUUAUAAAUUGCUGCCAUGGAAAGAGAUUGAGCAGGAUUGAGGUAUCAGCUGCUCCCAAUAUUUUGGUCAAGGUAUCAAGACAAAAAGAUAGACAAUGCUCUCUGCUCAGUGGCUUCAACAUAUGUAUGGCAGAUGUUCAGGAAUAUGGAUGUACCUGCAUCAGGGAGGAGAUACAUAAAGCAUAUAACAUACAGUAGCUCUUUUGGCAAAGAACCUAAUUCAGCAUGUCGCACGUCUCAUUGGUCAUUGCUCCCUCUGAAAGUCCCACUUGGAUACCAACUUUGGAAAUUUCAUUUUUCAUCUCACCAAAGUCCAAUUCUUUGGAUACAUGAACUCCCUUAAGGGAUAUCCACAUAGACAACUGCAAGCAUGAAACUUCAGGCUCAUUUAGACUAGAAGUCUGAGAUUUGCUUUGCUUCAAGCCUAGAUCCACAGUAAUUAGUGAAGAAAAAAACCCCAAACUCAUCACAACCAUGAAGGAGGACUUUGGCUUAAGUACGAUAAGCCUGAGGAUUUGCCUGUUUGGAAGAAACUGACCUACAUACCUGAUUGGGCUCCAUCUCCACUUUAUUAAAGUUUUGUCAUGCUUGCCCAUGGUAAACAAUUUUGUCUGCAGGCUAGGUUGACAUUAUUCAGCGUUACAGGAACAUUCAUGAAGAAUUUAUGCUGUGUUGACACUGGGAUUUAGUGUAACCCUCUUGGAUAGGGUACAUAAUUCACACAGGGAAAGGAAGACAUAUGUGCCUAAGCCUAGGGGUAAUCAUUCUGGACUGACAGUUUCCUUUACACCCCCAGGGACCUUAAGCCAAAGUGGGACAUCCAGGUAGCCAAAGUGACAUGCAUGGAAGGGCAAUCUCUAAAAAGAAUGCUGGUUAAAUCCCCUUGGCUCAAACUCACAUAGCAGAGCUCAUAAAGAUCUCUGGUUUUUGAUACUCAUUGCUUUAAUAAUUCAAAAAAGAAUCAUGAUUUUAUUGAUUACAAGUGAAUUUUGUCUCUUCCCUCCAUUGGACCAGAUCUUAACUCCUCCACAUCUCAACAGUGAGUUUUAUGAGUUGCUGUUCCCCAAAAAUUCAAUUUCUGGUGAUCAAUUUUUUGAUGAACCCCUCCAUACUUAAUUAGUCUUGACCCUAGGUGGUACAUACCUUAAUCCAUCACUAGUCUUGCUAUAAGAGAGGCCAUGUCAUCCCAGACUUUCAGUUUGAGAGUUAUAUGUGCUUCUUUUCCUGAGUUCAAAUUAUGUUUCGCAUGAGUAAAUAAUAACAUGAAUAUUAAAAAUACUAAUGAUGAUGAUUAUAGUAAUAGUAGUUGUUAUUGUUAUUUUCACCCAAGGAAAGAGGGAGAAGAAAGAACAAUAAUUUGAAUUUUCCUAGAGGAUUUUGGUCUUAGUUGGGAAAGGAAGAUUCUCUAAGGUGAAUGACUAGCUUUAGAAUAGCUUCAGGGUAAUCUCAUUACUGAAGGUAAUGAUCUUUAUGGUCACAUAUAAUGUGACCCUUGAAGACUUCUCUUAUGGGUUUAAAUUUCACAGAUUGUACAACCUCUGACACCCUGCUUAGCUUAAUUUUCUUCUCAUUACUCCAAUCCUCUAUUCUACUCCUUAUUGGGUAACUGGGUAGCACAAUGGAUAGAGAGCUGAGCCUAGGGUUAGGAAGACCUGAAUUCAAAACUGGCUUCAGACACUUUUAAGCUGUGUAAUCUUGAGCAAGUUGUUUUAACUCUGCCCCAGUUUUCUUUAUCUGUAAAAUGGGUAUAAUUAUAUUACCUGUUCCAUGAAGUUGUUGUGAGAAUCAAAUGUGAUAAUAAUUGUAAAGCACUUAGCACAGUGCUUGGCACAAAGUGCUUUCUAAAUGUUAGCUACUAUCAUCAUUACUACCGAUAACAUUAGCAUAAGAACAUCAGACUUGUAUCAGACUUUCUUACAGAACACAUCAGAAAAUAUUCAAUAUAAUCUGAUCAAAGAAGGAGGAGGAGGCAAUUUUAUUUCACAUGUGAUAAAGUUUAUUUUUGUAUCAUUAACCUAAAGCUCUAAUCUUAGACCAUCCAGCAGUCUCUUGUUGUAUACUUACUAUUAAGCAGUUAGUAUGCAGUGAUGGCUGGAUGGCAGCUAGGUAGUGGCAUAGUAGAUGGAAAACUGGACUUGGAGUCAAAAAGAACUGAAUUUUAAUCCAACCUCAGAUACUUACUAAAUGUGUUACCCUGGGUAAGUCACUUAGCCUCCAUCUGCCUCAGUUUACUCAUCUAUAAAAUGGUGACAAUAACCUCCUAUGAUUGUGGCGAGGAUCCAAGGAGAUAAUAUUUGCCAAGUGCUUUUCGAACCUUAAAGUACUAUGUAAAUACUACUAAUAUUAAUAACUAAUAUUUGCAUAGUUCUUUAAGGUUUUCAAAGGAUUUUAUCAUGUUAUCUCACUGGAGCCUGUGAAAUAGACACUCCUUAUAUGUUUAUCCCCAAUUUAUAGAUAAAGAGCUUGAGGUUUAUGGAGUUUAAAUGAUUUAUUCCAGGGUCACAUAAUUAGGGAGCCUCAGGGAUAGGAUCUUCUCUGAUUCCAAAUGUAUUCUUUUUGCCAUACUAUUCAGUUUCAGAGUGGUGUGAUCUCAGGGAAGUCAUAAUCGAACCUUAGUUUCCAUGCCUAUAAAGUAGGGGAAAUACAAGGCAUCUCAAAAGUCUUAGUGCAGCAUUAAGCUAUCAAAACACAAAACUGCACUAAGACUUUUGGGGCAUCCAGUAAUAUAUUUCCAACUUUAAUGGGAAACUGUUAAAAGCUAGGCAAAAAGGAACUACUGUUAUUAUCAUAUAUUAGACUCUGAAGUGAGUAUAGACACCCUAGUCCAGUAGAAAGGGAGCUAAAUUUGGAACAAAGGGACCUGUAUUCAAAUCCCAACUUUUCAAACUAGGGUAACUGACAUGGUUUUUUUGAGCCUCAGUUUCUUCAUCUAUAAAAUGAGAGGUUGGAUUAAAUGACCUCUGGCAUUCAUUCAAGGUCUACAACUAUAAUUUUUUGGAGAAAUAUAGAACCACUUUUAUCUUUAAAGGGUUUAUGGUGUAGUUCAAGCAAUGAGAUAUAUGCCCAAACAAUGAUAUCAUAAAGCAAAUCUAUGAUGGUGAGCACUGAUGCUUUAAUAAUAUUUUCUUGAUGUUAUGAGGUGUAUACAUCAUAAACAUAGUAAAGCUUAUUCAGCAGCCCAGAAUCUGAGAAUUAGAAGGGACCUUAGAGGUCAUCGAGUCCAAUCUUUUUCAUAGUGUAAGAAUCUUUCUUAUAUCUCUGACAAAUAGCUAGCUAAUUUUUGCUUGAACAGUUCCAAUGAUAAUGGAGAUCAUUAAUUUCUAUGACUUUUUAUUCUAUCAUUUGACAAUUCUAAUUAGGGCAUCCUUCCUCAUAUGGAUCCAAAAUUUGCCUCACUAUGACUCCCACUCAUUGUUUGCAAUUGUCCCUUGGAGAGAGAAAGAAUAAACUCAAGCCCUCUGAACUGGGUGACAGUUUAGACAUUUUAGAUAAAGUCAGAGUAGUGACUUUGAAUGUACUUUAGAGCCUCUUCUGAAAUUCUGUUUUCAUAGAAAGAGUAGAGAUUGAACACAAAGCCAUUGAGUGGCUUAAAAUGGCAUCCAUGGGUGAGAUCAUUUAUGGGGCAUGCCAAAAGGAGAGAAGAGAAAUAAUGAAGAAAAACCAAAAGACAUACCUUUGCCUCAUAAGAAAUGAUGAGCUGAUUAUUUUUUUUAAAAAACAUAGAACUGCAUGAGAUAAUUAAGAGUAAAAUGAGUAGAACCAGAAGACCAUCAUAUAUAGCUACAUAUUUAAUAUUUGAUGAAUAACUUGUGAACAUUUAUCUCCAGAGAAUAAAAUGACAAAUGGAAACACAAAAGACAUAAUCUAUAUAUAUACAUAUCUGUUUCCUAGAUGAUGCCUUUUAUGGUGUGGAGAGGAAAAAGAGAGACUGAGAUAACACAAAUAAAUUCUAUUAAUUAAAAAUAUUUGAAAAAAGUCAGACCUUUCCUAUUUCCCAAUUUUCCAUACUUGAAUUCAGACUUGGAGAAAAUCAAGAAGUAUUGGAAUUAUCCUUCUCACAAGUAGAACAAUUUGCAUCAUUCCUGAUAGGUAGAUGUCAUUUAUUAGAAUUGAAGCCCAAACCAACUUGGUUGGCUCCCCAUAAAAAUGAUUAUAGUUUCAGCUCCUGAUAUAAUUCAGUAGCUUUGCCCGGUAACUCAUUUAAGUUUAUUAAUUUGGCAAAUAAGUGAUAUGGACAAUUGAGCCAGACAUAGUGUCCGGAAGGGCUUCCAUUCCAUCAGAACAAUGGGGUGAACCUGGGAAGAGUGAGGCUUUCACAUGGGAUACCAUGCCUCCUCUCCACUCCCUCCACAUUAGCACAGGUCUCAAUCCCACUUAAGUUCUAAUGUAAGUGCUAGCUUUCAAAGCUGCUUCAUGCCUUUUCUGCUCAUAGCCAGGUUAAACAGAGUGUUUGUAGGCGAGGUGGGUAUUUUUAGCAUUAGAGGAGUGCUCUGCUUUUCAUUAUUGGGAACUCACGGGUCUACACCACAGGCAGAAGAGAAAAAUCUAACAGCCUGGUGUCCUAAAAGUCGGAGUUCUACUCACUAGUCAUGAAGGGAUCUCUUAACUAAUGCUGAGUCAAUGAAAAGAAGAGGUUUAAAACCUAGCAGGAAAAGAUGAUCUUUGGCACUUUUACCAAUUCCAGUCUAGAAAAAAAGUCAACUUCUCUAGGCACUGACCUUCCCAGUGAUCUUGGAUUCUGGGAGUUGAGGAGAAUUUCAAAAGCAUUGUGAAAGGACAUCAGGGCUUCUCUUUAUCACUUCAUCACCAAUAUAUUAUAGAUCCCCCAUGUGUUGAAGUUUUCCUGCUCCACUAUUAGUGGAUGAAAACAUCUGGAUAUUUUUAAAUUAAAUUAAAAGGCUAUGGUCCAGAUAUUGGCCACCUACUGGUGAAACAAAUACAACCAACAAGACAAUCCCUCCUCUAAAGGGUCUGAUAUCCUAAUGGCCUUAGGGCAGCUUAUUGGGCAACCUGAAAUGCCUUAAGGUGCUGUCUACCCCAAACUUUGAAAACCUUAUAAGGCCAACAGUUACACUAACAUGAAUAUGUGAAUUGAUGUGGUUUUUGUGUAGAAUUGUUGACAUUAUUUAAUAAAAUUCUCCUUCAGGAAUAAUUAAAAAAUGGAGAUUAAGGUAAAUCAAGGGCAUUUGUUAUUGGUCAGCCACAUGACACUGGGUCCAAGGAUACAGAAUAAUAUGGUUAGCCUCAUACACCUCAAAUAGAAUGGGGUGUGGGAUGGAAGGAAAGACAGAGUAAUUCCAGAAGUUUGUGAUGCUAGACUUUCCCUUAAUGUUCAGAGAUUUGGAGAUGAAGGCAAUCUUUAAAAUCAUCUAACAUAUGGGAAAAUGGAGGCCCAAUGAGUUGAAGCAAUUUGCUCAUGUCCAACACUAAGUAUCAACCAUAAAAAUUCAAACUAGCCCUUCCCUGGCUCUAGAUCAAGAAUUUUCUCCAUUCUGCCAUACUGCCCAAAUGGGUGACAUCAGAAGAAAGUCUACCUAGUUCCAAGAUUUACGUAUGGCAUCUUGAGAGCUUAAGAAAAUCCUAAGGCUUAAGGUUAGUGGUCUCAGACUUGCUCAACCCAUGUGAAUAGAAUUGGAACUAGGAGAAUUUGAAGGCUGAGACUGUAAAGAAGAAAUUUAGAAAAGAAUUGGCCAGAUGUCCUAUAGCUGGGGGUUGAGGACUAUGGUUAAACUAUAAGACCAUCUGUGAAAUGUUAAAUUUUUAUCUGUUACUAUCUGCUCCCCUUCUCUCCUUGUAAGCUCUCUAGAAGUGUUCUGUAAAAAAAAAUCUACUUAAAGUUAGCUAAGAGACUGGUAAAUUCUCAUCAGUUCAUCUAGGGUUUAUAGAACCAUAUUAAACAAGGAAAAGUAUUGGCAGCUAGAAUGGGACACUGGUGAGAGAAAUGGGUCCACUGAUGGGGAAAAGAGAAACAAAAAUAAAAUCUAAGCUUGGAGGAUGCAGGAGGCUUAUUUUAUCCAUGACAUCCUAUCUUAUUUUGGGUAGCUGCCAACUUUCACAGUGGCACUGCCCUGCUCAAAGUCCUGUAAUGACUCUGCUGCCUUACUGGAUAAAACCCAAAUUCCUUAAAAUGACAUGAAAGGCUCUCUCUCUCAACAGAUAGACAUUAGCCAUCAUAUUAUACCUCUUAAACUCUUUCUCCUAUACCCAGACUCCCCUAACAAUAGACUGACUUGCCAAUCUUCUCCCUAUUCUUCCUCCUUAACUCCCAUCACUAUACCAUUGGCAUGUCUAUAUGUACACCUUGGUUAAUGCUAUUCUCUAGACACUCACCUUCCUUCUCUCAAAAUUAUACCUAGAGGGGAAACUAGGUAGCUGCUAUCUUCUAGCACAGUGGAUAGAGCACUAGAUCAGGAGUCAGGAGGACCUGGGUUCCAAUCUAGCCUCAGAUACUUCCUAGAAGUGCAAACCUGGGCAAAUCACUUAAUCCCAAUUUCCUAGCUCUUGGUGCUUUUCUGUUUUAGAAUUGAUAUAGACAGAAGAGUUAAAAAAAUUAUACCUAGGCUCAAAGCCAAACUGAAGUCCCAUUUUCUUUAUGAAGUUUUCUCUAACUAGACACUUUAUCCCUCUUGGAUCUAACCUUUAGCUCCUAUAAUCUCCUGUUCCAUUUAUUUUCUAAUAUUGGGCAUGCCUUUGCACAGGAUCUACUAUAAGUCUAGAAUGCACUCACCCCUCAUCUAUGCAUGAAUCCCUAUUUUCUCUCAAGGCUUAGCUCAAAAGCCAUUUACUACAUAAUUUCCUUUCCUUCCUUAUACUAAUUCCCUGCCCCCCAUUAAUUUGCAUAUACUUAUUUUUUUUUACAUAUUUGUCUCUCUUUAGAGAAUGUAAACUCCUUGUGGGGAGGAAAUUUAUAUUACAAUUACCUAGCAUAGUGCCCUGGCAAUUAACAGGAGCUUAAAUAUUUGUUGAUUGAUUAAUAUGUAAUAUGUUGCAUCAUUGCUAGUUUUGUAGGUCUUAGUUGUUUCCACAUGGAGAAGGAAAAUGAUCCCUCCAAGGCAGAGAUCAAAUCCUCACCUCUUUAAGACAACUGUGCCAUACAUUGUAGAAACUCAGAAAAGAGACUCUUGAAAUAGAGAUAAAGGGGAAGUUAGAUGACUCAGUGAAGAGAGAGCCCAGCCUGGAGACUUGAGGUCUUGGGUACAAAUCUGAUCUCAGACACUUCCAAGCUGUGUGACUGUGGGUAAGUCACUUAACUCCCAUUGUCUAGUUUUUAAUAUUGAUUCUAAGAUGGAAGUUAAAGGUUUCAAAAAAUUGAGAUAACAUGGUAUAAAGGAUAUAAUUCUUGAUGGGGAAUCAGGACACCCAAUGUCCAGUCCCUUAGAUAUUUGUUCCCAACCUGUGAACUGUAGGGUCAUAGUUUGGGGAUAGAACCCACCAACAGCAUCCAAAGCCUUUGUAACUCUGGGUUAAGUCACUUCUGUAAGAGGAGGGAGGUUGGAUUGAUGAUUCUCUGAGUCUAUGGAUUUGCUGAAUCAUAAUAACCAUUUGUUGUGAGUGUCAUUUGCACAGCUUCAUUCAAAGUGUGUGUGCGUGUGUGUGAGAGGGACAGACAGACAGGCAGAGACUGACAGAGGCUGAUAGUGACUGGGUGGAUGAAAGGCGUUACUUACUUGCUGGUCAGCCACAUGAUUCUGGGCUCAGGUGGUGCUGAGUUACAGAGUGGGAAGGCGGUACUUAUACUUCUCAGAAAAGCUGGGGGUGGAAAAGAAGGACAAAGUGACUGGAAUGAGUUGAAAAUGUCAAACAUUAGAUGUAAAUGAUAGAUAACUUAUGGAUCCAAGUUCUUGUGGGCAGAAAUGCUGCCAGGAAUCUUGAAUUAGAGGACAUCCCAGCCAUAAUCAUACACAGCAGAAAGGCUCCUGAAUCACCCCUUAGCUUCCUGCACAAAACUAGGGCUGCCUUCACUUGGCAAAUUCAUGGGGCAUCCUCUGGGACUUUCCCCUGUGAGACAAAGAGGACAAAUUAAAUAAUUAUUCAAUUAAGCCUGAUUGCUAAAUGCAUCACCAUUGUUCUCUUGCCACUUUAAUUUACUGGGCCCUAGCUAUUCAUUUGGUCACAUGCUGGGCAGAUUUUAUAGUUGUUCAUUUAUCACCUUGGACUCACCAUUCAACAAAAUGAAAGAAUUAAGGUUGUAUUAGUUCAAACUGCAGCAUUGUUCAAACCUUUUGCUAAACUGAGAGGUUGUAGUGCUUGGGGCAAAGGAGAGGGAGUCAUGAAUGUGCUUGGGAGUAAGCAAAUUUUGCUGGGGAAAAAAAGUCACUUGGAAUGAAAGGAAGUGUAAUAUAGUGGAAAGAGUAUUGGAUUUGCAGGCAGAGUACUUGGGUUUGGGUCCCAGUUUCUGCCAAUUACCGUAUGCAUGAUUAUGUGUAAGUCACAUAGCUCCUUUGGGACUUAGUUACUUCAUCUGUUAAAAAAAAGAGUGGGGGUCAGGCCAGAUAAUUUUUCUGGUCCAUUAGAGGGCUAAAUUCAAUGAUCUCAUGAAUGAAGCUCAAGUUAAAGAGAUGAUUAGUAGUAGGAAAAAUUAGUGAGAACUGAUCAGCUUCCUAAUAAUAAUAACAUACCUUUAUAUAGUCCUUUAAGGUUUUCAAAGCUCUUUAUAAACUUAAAUACAUCAUCUCCUUGAUUUUCACAACCUUGUUGAUUAGAUACUAUUGUCAUUGUUUUUUAAAGUUAAAGAAACUAACUGAUUUAUCCAGGGAUAAAAUUUUUAAAGGCAGGAUUUGAACCCAGGUAUUCUUGGUUUCAAGUCCAAGAAAUCUCUGCAAUAUGUUGAACAGAAAGCCUUCUCACCAUACAGUUUUUGUCAUUCUAGAUGAUAUCUUUGCUCCUUCACCUCCCUUUUGAUGAGUGCCCAAGUCAGCCCUGCUCAGUACCUCACACUUCUCCCAGCUAAACUCCUGUUCCUGCAGACUUCUUUACUAUGGCUACAUGUAGAUGGAUACCUUCCCUCCUUCCACUGAUUUCCAACUUCUUUUUACAUGCUGUCUUCCCUCAGUAGCUUACAAACCCUUUGAGGCCAAAGUCUCUUUAUUUGUACUUGUAUUUGUAUCCCCAGGACUUAGCAUUUUGCCUGACACCUAGUAAUUUACUUAAUAAAUAUUUCUUGAAUUGACAACUCGACUUGAACCAGACAGACACUCUCAGAGGAAGUCCUGGUUCUUUUAGUCAUUCCUAACUGCCCCCUUACCCAACAAACUGCCUCUCAUGGGAUUUAUAUGUACAUGAUCAAUCAAAUUAAAUAUUUAAAUAGAAUCCAAUGUAUUGUAAUUUGUUUGAUUGGAAGCAUAAGCGGCUUAAAAAUAUUACUUGACAGGAGAUGAGCAUGAAAACUAAAAGGUGGGAGCAAGAGAAGACAAUAGGAUUUUUAUUUCAACAUUGGCUACAAUAAAAACAGUUGCGCAGGUUGCUGGCUGGUUAGCUGGUACCUGGGUAUGCAAGUCCUAGGCUACACCACUUCCGUCUUUCAUCAGAACUCAUCAGCAUGCAUCUCUUUAUUGCCUUGUAAAUUCAGUGACUAGAAAAUGGAUCAGCAGAUUUUAGUGCAGUGCAAAUGGAGUAAUUGAGUUUAUGCUUUGACGGGUUUUGCUUUGUUCUACUAUACGAGGCUAAUGGAAGCAAACAGAAGAUGAAAGCGGCAUUUGGUGGUUGAUGCUUGAAGAUGCAGGAAGGGAGUGCCUGGCCUUUUAACAGAAAGAUUUCCAAUCCUCUCACAGUACUUCUCUUUCAGUCUUUGGAUAUUUUCAUUUACCCACUGUAAAAUCAAGAGGAGAAGAGUGGGGGGUUGAGAUACAGGCUCAGAUUUUUUUCUUUUCUAACUCUAAGGCUGGUCAUACAAUUCCCUAGCAUAUAUUGGGUGCCUAUUAUGUGCUCAGCAUUUGUGGGAUAUUUGAUUCAUGCAUUCAUUCAACAAACAUAUAUAAUCCAUCUAUUGUGUACAAAGAACUAGCUUAGGUACUUUGAGAAUUAUACACAUUCCAAAUAAGAUAAGAGAAAGAGGUAUCCAAUAUAACUCUUGGGUUGUAAGCCUAAGAGGCAGAGUAGAUGGUGUUGAUUUCUAAAGUAAUAGGAAAGGUAGGAAGUAGAAUGGGGAGGAUUUAGGGGAAAAGAUAAUGAACUCCAUUGUGAAGUUGCGUUGAAGUACUAGACACCCAAUUCUAGAUGUUUAAAAGGUAGUUAGAGAUGUGAGAUUGGAGGUCAGCAAAGAUAUUAGGACAGAAUAGGUAGAUUUGAGAAUCAUCAGCAAAGAGAUGGUAAUUAAAUCCAUAGAAGCUGAUAAGAUCACCAAGUCAAGUAGAAUAGAGGGAGAAAAGAAGAGGGCCCAUCACAGAACACCAAUGAACACUUGUGAAUAAAGCAUGUGAUCUGGAGGAGGAUCUGGCAAUGGAGAUUGAGAAAGAAUGGUCCCAGAGAUUGAAGGAAAGAAGGUGAUCUGUCUUGAAAAUCUAGGGAGAAGAGAGUCUUAAGAAUAAGCUGCUCAACGAUGUCGAAGGCUGAAGAGAGGUCAAGGAGAAUAAAGAUUAAGAGAAGAUCAUUGGAUUUGGCCACUAAGAGAUCAUUAGUGAUUUUGGAGAAAGUCAUGAAACCAGAUUGUAAGACCCUAAGAGGAGAGAAAGUAUCAGAAGAUAUAUAGGAUGGUAGUUAGUGGGGAUGAAGAUCAAAUGAGGAUUUUCAGGAGGGAGGAGAGAUAUGAAACAAAUGAAAGAGAUAGCUGAAAGAUUCUUCUUUUAAAACUCAAUUUCCUCUAAGCCUGGGACCAGAAAAAUAAGGAAAUGAACUUCCCCUCCUUCUUUGUAGAAGUAUGGGAUAUAGGUGUGGACUAUUGAACAUGUACUCAAAGACAGUUAUACCUUUGAUCUUACCAUCACCCACAAAUAUAUCACCUUCAUGUUCAAGAAAUCAGAAAACAAGUGAAAGAGUGGGGAUGAAUGAGAGAGCAACCUAUUGGGGAGAUAGAAUGGAAUAGAUCACUUGCAUGUAGUUGGCACAGUGGAUAGAAUGCUGGACCUGGAGUCAGAAAUAUGAGUUCAAAUCUGGUAAUAGACACUUACUAGUUGUGUGACUCUGGUCAAGUCAAUUAACUCUAUCUGCCUCAGUUUCCUUAUAACUCAAAUGAGCUGGAGAAGGAAAUAGUAAAUUACUCCAGUAGAAAAACCUCAAAUGGGGUCAUGAAGGGCCCUACAUGAUUGGAAAUAACAAGUCAACAAGAACAAAGAUCACUUGAACAAAUAAAAAGGUUAGCCUUGGCAAUGUGUAAAACCACUUCUUAUGUAAAACUGGAAUGAAGAGAAAGAAAAUGACAGAAGACAUGAUAGGAGAUGAGAAAAGGAGGGCAAGAGGGCAUUUACAGAGAAUGGUCAAUUUUUUUUUCCUGUCAAAUAUUAGACAAAAAGGGUCAAGGGAGAGGGAGUCAUGAAAGGUUUGAAUAGGGAUGAAAAGUUUUGAAAGAACUCUCUUGGAGACUGGAAGAAUGAAUUGGCAAGAUUAUCUGAUAGUAGUAAGAGCCCAGUUAAGGUUAUGCAACAUAAAUUUGUAGUGGACCCAAUCAGAACAGUUGUGUGAAUUCCCUUGCCUUCAUUUAGCAGCAUCUAUGUAGGAGCAAAGGUGAUAAAAUGGUGGGAGUAAUCCAAGGCUGAGGCUUAGCUUGGUAUACUCAGUAAUAAAACUUCAAGAAAAAAGGACACUGCAGAGUUGAAUUGGUUCAUCAAGGAGUUAAGAUCAGGACAAAAGGAGAAAGUGGCUAGUGCAGAGGAGAUGGCCUGGGAGAGAGAAUUAAAGAAUAAAAGGACUAAAGGUCAUGGUGUGAAUGAAGAGUAGGAUUUUGUAAGGGAAGGAAGAGAAGUGAAAAGUCAGUAGAUUCUGGUCUGAUUUCUUGAACAUAAAGGUGAUAUAUAUGUGGAUGAUGGUAAGAUCAAAGGAAUAGCCAUCUUUGAGAGAAUGUGUGGUAGGUAGUCCCCACCCAUGUCUCCUUUUUCUACAAAGAAGGAAGUGGAGUCCAUUUCCUUACUCUUCUGAUCCCAGGCUUAGGGGAAACUGAGUUCCAGCCAGAGGCAUCUUUCAGCUAUCUCUUUUCAUGGAAAAAGUAGCAAGCUUCCAGAUGGCACUUGGAGUUCCUUUAAGUCCACAGAUGCAAGACUGGUUUUUGAGAAUAUAGUCCUGUCUUCAAGGAUUUUAUUGAUGCUCCCAUUGUAGAGUGGAGAUUUAGAUGAAAGAAACAGUGAUCAAUGCCAGUAAGUAGAUAAUAAAGUACAUAUCAGUCCUUUAGAGUCAGUCCUCAACUACCUUGCCAACUUUCCCACCCACUCUUCUCUGUGAACUCUCCACCAUAGCCAAAAUGGUCUAGUCAUCAUCACUCCUUGAAUAUGCCUUGUACACGAUUUUACUCAUACCAUCUGCUCCCUCCCAGAUUCCCACUCACUUUGCUUUUUCAAGCAGUUUAGUAACUGGCACAUAGUCUAUCUUUCCACCCCAGAUCCUUGUCCUCAUAUUUGAAGAUUUAGGUGUACACAUAAAUAUUUCUGUCUUCCUUCCAUCACGCUUAACUUCUAUGAUUUAUAUUCCCACUGUGUCUUAGCCAGCCACAAUGAUGGUCUACAACUUAAAAGUCACCAUCACACUACUGUGUUAGGUGGUUUACACCAUAGUUUAUAUUAAGCUUAGGUAGAGUACAUAGUUUAAACUUUAUAAUAGCAGUGCCACAGAAGACACAGAACUAAGAGGGAUAGCUACCCUACUGGAUAGCAUAAUCAGAAUCUUAUAUAAAAUAUUAUAUAUAAAAUAUAUAUUAUAAUAAUGCAAAGAUCUGGACAGAUUAGAAAUUGGGCUAAAAUUUAAUCAAACAAAAUCUAAUAGGAGCAAAGUAAAGUCAUACAUUGGAGCAGCCAGGUGGAACAGUGGGUAAAGUGCUGGGUCUGGAGUCAGGAAGACUCAUCUUGAGUUCAAAUAGGGCUUCUGACACUUACUAGCUGCAUGUUCCUGGACAAAGCACUUAACCCUGUUUGCUUCAUAUAUAGAAUGAGCUGGAGAAGGAAACAAUAAACGACUGCAGCAUCUCUGCUGAGAAAACACCAAAUGGGGUUAUGAACAGUUGAACAUAACUAAAAUAACUGAAAGUCAAACAUUUGGAAUUAAAAAAAAAAACCCUUCACAGGUAUAGGAUAGGAAUUGAAAGUAGUAGUUUAUGGGGAAAAAAUCUGGAGGCUGGGUUGCCUAGGUAAUACAGCAGACAGAAUAUCAGGCCUGGAAUUCGGAGGACCUGGGUUCAUAUGUGGCUUCAGAUACUUCCUAACUGCGUGACCCUGGGUAAGUCACUUAACCUCCAAUGCCUAUCCCUUACCGCUUUUCUGCAUUAGACCCAAUACUUAGUAUUGAUUCUAAGACAAAAGGUAAGGGUUUAAAAAGAAAAGAAAAUAUCUGGUGUGUACCUCAAGUUCAAUUUUAUUCAACACAAUGAAGUGACAGCCAGAUAUCCCCCAGAAUAAACAGGGAUUGUCUUGUGAAUUCCUUCCACUAGGGUACAAGACAGAAAAGAGUAGGUUGGUAGAUAUCAUGAACUCAUGCUCAGGAAGGAGGCUGGAAACUAGCUCUGGCACACAUAUAUCAAGGCUAACUAUUUAGAGCUCAGUUAGACAAUGGACUAGUCCAAGCUGGAGAUCCACAACAGAGGUCUGAGCUAGCAGGUGGUCUGAGUGCCAGUUCAGAAGCUAGGGCAGAACACACAAGUGGGAAAUAAAUUAUGGAAGCUCAGAAGACUGGGAGGACUACAUAGGUGGUGGGACCUGUUCCUAUACCAAUGGGAGAACAGACAGGUGUGUAUGUAGUCAACUGACUAGGUCAUGAGCAAGGAAGUCCUGAAGUUGGAAGGCAGAAAUUGCUCCAAGAUUGGUGGUAAUAGCUAGUGUUUCUUUCAGAAGGGCAGGUUGUGUAGAGAUCAAACUGUAACAAAUGCUGCCAUAUAACCAGACAACUCAAUGCUUUUCUUUAGGGAAAGAGGAGAAAGUCUGGCCUUAAAGGACCUGCGGUCACUCAAAAGGGCUCAGAACCUCUAGGACAAUAGCUUCUCCUUCCUUGUCUUGGGAAUCCUUUGAAUUGAUGCUGGAGGCAGCACUUCUUCCUUGCCUGGUGAGUGGAGGCCUCAGCCGGGCCUGGCCAAGGUCAUUGUUCUCUGAUUGAUCUGAUGGGAAUAGAGCUGAGGGACUUGUGAUGGGGUAUUUGCUUGGAGCCAGAACUGAAUAAUACCAAGAACUAGAAAACCUAAAUACCUUGCAUUCUAAUGAGAGCUCUUUGCCUUUGGAACUAAGGUCUAAUUAGUCUGCUGCUGCUGCUGGAACAUGAGGGCACUUCAGUCAGAAAUGGCAAGACCAGGACAGAAAUACAAGCUGCUCAGCCCUUGGCAAUAACAAGAAUAUGGGAUCAUUAUUAUAGAGAGAGUGAUUGAAAAAAAAAACAGUUUACAUAGUGUUUUCCUCACACCCCCUGAAAGUGAGUGGGAUUGUUAUUAUCUCCUUGUUACAGAUGAGGACAUUGAGGUUCAAGGUGACUUAGCCAGGGGCACAAAGCUAGUUGAUAGUGAAGCCAGAACUUGCACUCAGGUCUUGGGACUUUGAGGAAGGUACUUUUUAUCACUAUAUGAGUGCUUAAAGUCAUAAGAAGCAGUGGUUGUGAAGAAGACAAAGGUGAGCAGGGAGGAUAAAAAGCAUCCCUAAAUAAACUAAAGAACAUACGGUGACUGGUGAUGACUGAGUAGGGUAUAUAAGCAAAAUCUCCUAUUUCCCUUCCUUGCUAAUUUAUGCUCUAGACAGGCUGAUUUCCUGAUUCCCUGUUCACUCUUUGCUCACCCCUCCAUCCUUGUCAUUCCUGAACCUUUAUUCUAUUCUUGGAUAACUCUCUCCUUCUUCUCUACAAGUCUAAAUCCCAUUCAUCCUUCAGGGCUCAGCUCCUGUCCCACAUCCUCCAUAUAAUCUUCUGUGACCUCUCCAAUUCUCAUUUAAUUCUUCUCUCCUUAAACUCUUGGGUCUCUUAUGAGCUGAACUCUUAGGUGGUGGUAACCAUACCCUGUCCCAUGUCAGCUGUCUUUUCAGCUGUUUCUGUCUUGCCUCUCCAGCUUCAAUGCAAGCUCCUAUACAGUAGACCCUUUUUUAAACCACCAUAGCACAUAACUUGGAACUUGGUGCAAAACAGAAACCCGUCAAAGUAGUAACAAUAGUUUUAAUUUAUAGUUUAUAGUUUUAUGGUGAGCAAAGCACUAUAAAUAUUAUCUAAUUUGAUCCUUAAAACAACCUUGGUACUAUUGUUAGUAUUAGUAGAUACUAUUAUUAGAUUCAUUUUACA